AUUUGAUUCUUCGGAUGAAGAUCCUGGUGACUGAGUGGCGGACGGGUGAGUAACGCGUGGGUAACCUGCCUCGAUACAGGGGGAUAACAGUUAGAAAUGACUGCUAAUACCGCAUAAGACCACAGCACCGCAUGGGUAGCAGGGGUAAAAACUCCGGUGGUAUGAGAUGGACCCGCGUCUGAUUAGGUAGUUGGUGGGGUAACGGCCUAACCAAGCCGACGAUCAGUAGCCGACCUGAGAGGGUGACCGGCCACAUUGGGACUGAGACACGGCCCAAACUCC
rnacentral:rRNA from 1 species